AUUGAACGCUGGCGGCAGGCCUAACACAUGCAAGUCGAACGAGUGGCGGACGGGUGAGUAAUGUCUGGGAAACUGCCCGAUGGAGGGGGAUAACUACUGGAAACGGUAGCUCAUACCGCAUACAAUCGGAUGUGCCCAGAUGGGAUUAGCUGGUAGGGGAGGUAACGGCUCACCUAGGCGACGAUCCCUAGCGGUUCUGAGCGGAGGACCAGCAACAGUGGACAUUAGACACGGUCCAGACGCCUACGGGAGGCAGCGGUGGGGUAGAUUGCACAAGGGGCGCAAGCCUGAUGCAGCGAUGCCGCGGGUAUGAAGAAGGCCUUCGGGUUGUAAAGUACUUUGAGCGGGGAGGCGGUACCCGCAGAAGAAGCACCGGCUAACUCCGUGCCAGCCGCCGCGGUAAUAC
rnacentral:rRNA from 1 species